rnacentral:rRNA from 1 species
AUUGAACGCUGUGGCAUGCCUUACACAUAGCAAGUCGAACGGCAGCACGGGAGCAAUCCUGGUGGCGAGUGGCGAACGGGUGAGUAAUAUAUCGGAACGUGCCCAGUAGUGGGGGAUAGCCCGGCGAAAGCCGGAUUAAUACCGCAUACGACCUGAGGGUGAAAGCGGGGGAUCGCAAGACCUCGCGCUAUUGGAGCGGCCGAUAUCAGAUUAGCUAGUUGGUGGGGUAAAGGCCUACCAAGGCUACGAUCUGUAGUUGGUCUGAGAGGACGACCAGCCACACUGGGACUGAGACACGGCCCAGACUCCUACGGGAGGCAGCAGUGGGGAAUUUUGGACAAUGGGCGCAAGCCUGAUCCAGCAAUGCCGCGUGCAGGAAGAAGGCCUUCGGGUUGUAAACUGCUUUUGUCAGGGAAGAAAUCUUCUGGGCUAAUACCCCGGGAGGAUGACGGUACCUGAAGAAUAAGCACCGGCUAACUACGUG